rnacentral:rRNA from 1 species
GAUGAACGCUAGCGGCAGGCCUAACACAUGCAAGUCGAGGGAGGAGCUUUCGGGCUUCGACCGGCGUACGGGUGCGUAACGCGUAUACAAUCUGCCUUUCACAUAGGGAUAGCCCGAAGAAAUUUGGAUUAAUACCUAAUGGUAUAUAGGAGUGGCAUCACAUUUAUAUUAAAGCUGAGGCGGUGAAAGAUGAGUAUGCGUUCUAUUAGCUAGUUGGAGAGGUAAUGGCUCCCCAAGGCGACGAUAGAUAGGGGUUCUGAGAGGGAUAUCCCCCACACUGGUACUGAGAUACGGACCAGACUCCUACGGGAGGCAGCAGUGAGGAAUAUUGGACAAUGGUCGGAAGACUGAUCCAGCCAUGCCGCGUGCAGGAAGACGGCCUUAUGGGUUGUAAACUGCUUUUGCAGGGGAAGAAUAAGGACUACGAGUAGUUUGAUGACGGUACUCUGCGAAUAAGCAUCGGCUAACUCCGUG